rnacentral:rRNA from 1 species
UACGGAGGGAGCUAGCGUUGUUCGGAAUUACUGGGCGUAAAGCGCGCGUAGGCGGCUUUGUAAGUUAGAGGUGAAAGCCCGGAGCUCAACUCCGGAACUGCCUUUAAAACUGCAUCGCUUGAAUCCAGGAGAGGUGAGUGGAACUCCGAGUGUAGAGGUGAAAUUCGUAGAUAUUCGGAAGAACACCAGUGGCGAAGGCGGCUCACUGGCCCGGUACUGACGCUCAUGUGCGAAAGCGUGGGGAGCAAACAGG